rnacentral:ncRNA from 1 species
AUAGGAUUGCCGCCGGGUAACGUUUUGUCUCAUUCCAUUAGGCCAUAGAAGGAAUGGAGAACAAAGCGUUUUUUUU